GAUCCCAGCCUUCUCUAUGUUUGCUGAGUCUAGCUGUGCAAGUCUUCAUUAUCUCCGGUAAUGGGUAUGGGUUCUUUCACCAACCCAUACUUGAUGGCUUUAUGGGGUUCUCUCCAAGAUUCAGGCUUUACAAGUUGCAAUCCUCAAGAGCUCUUACUCUUUAAAGUCCAAGUUUAAAUCAUGACCCAGAGGUCCUAGAACAGCACAGAGCACAUGGUGUUUUCUUUCCUACUACUUGUGUUCAGGGUUAUCACUCGUCAUGCUUAGGCACCACUGUGGCCUCACAGGAUGAAAGCUCCCUCCACUUACGUUCUCCUCUCUUGCUCGUGAAUUGUACUGUUUCUUUGCAGGUGAAUCUUAAGUAGGCCCUGAAAAGAGGAACUCAUGGUCAGAUUUCACCCUUGGCUCCCAAGUGAAUGACGCAGAACACCGUGGAAAGCCGUGUCAACACAAUCACUGUCACUAAUGAUUAUUUAUCCAGUUCCAACCCUGCUGCUCUUCUCUGCAGGCUGUGUGCUGGCGAGCGCUGCGUGGGUAACAAAUACGGGUCCCAAUGUCACGAAAACAGGACGACAGCCUUAUGCAAGUGUGGAAGCUAAUCCUUCUGAGGCCCUGGAUCAUGUUAGCUACUGUUGAGUCAGUCCCAGUGCCUUUAACUCAUUACCUCUGCUCACGGGACCACCCUGCCAAGCAGGCACACGAGGCCAUGAAUGCAGCUUGAGAGCAGCUGCAAGCCAUUCUGCCUGCACUCUUGAGCCUGGAGGAGUUGCUGUGGGGACCCAAGUUCACCCUGAAGAUGUGCUUGUCUACUGAGGGCAGCCGAGCACCCGGGGUGACCUUGCCUUGUUCUGGGCGUGAGGACAAGGUUUGCAUCUGACAGCGGGAGGCUGUGGAGCAAGGGGUGAUGCCCGGGGCCCUGGGGGGGGGGGGUCUGCCUCCCUGCUCUGCAGACCCUAUUAAUCUUUCCAAAGGGAGGAAGUCAUUCCCUUUGGAUGGAGACAGCUCUCUACAUUCUUGAAAUAAAUGAAGGCAAAAUGUACA
rnacentral:lncRNA from 1 species